AGAGACAAAGGUCCUGCCGGAAGAUAGCCUAGAGGCUGAGAUGACCUCCAAGUCUCAAAAAAAUUUUAGAGAUGAGAAAACUGAGGCCCAGAGAGACAGCUGGUCCAAGGUUACAGGAUACAAGUGGAACCCAGAGUACUCAAGGUACUGGCAUUGCCAAGAGAAUACAGGCUGGGAAAGGGAAAUGGAAAUCAAAUACAUAUUCAGUGUCCAUUCUGAUCAGGGCAACUCCCAGCAUCAUCUCAUCAAAUCUUCAUGGAUGGCUUGCUGGAAGGAUGGCUGAUGGGGAGCAGGUGUGGAAAGCAUCUGACCGAGAGUGAAUUCAAACAGAGGAAAGUAGACUCAUGAGACAGAAAGAGAAACAGAGCAAGUCCUGACAACGUGGAUGGAACACCUGGAUCCAGCUGACCUAAAACCAGUACUCUGCUGGACUUUCCAGUUAAGUCCAUUUGACACGGGCUUCUAUCACCACAUCCAUAUCUCCAGUGCCCAACACAGGGCCUGGCAUAGUAUGGACACUUUGAAAAUGUAGAAUGAAUGACGAACCUAUUCAAUUCCACAACUCUACAGCAGAAAUAGAUAUAAUCAUUCCACUGCAUAGAUGAGAGAACUACUGAGGUGGUCUAUACAUCCUUAUCUUGAAAAUAAUUUCCCAUCAAGAAUUUUCAACUAUUGACAACAGUUUUAGAAAACAUUACUGCCUCAGACUAAGACUCUUUGGUGUUGGUUGGUAAGCCCUAUGUUAAUCCUCCCAGUCCCAGUGAAGGAGGCACUUCCCUCAGUCCCUAGAAAACCCAAGGGCAGGGUGGGGUUGUGGGCUCAGGGAAGCUGAGGCUGAUCCUGGGUCUCCACCAAACCUGGGAGGGACAGGACAGGCCCCUGUACAGGUUGGCACCAGCCCUGGGGAACCCAAAGUUACCUCUCUCAAUUACAGACAGAACAUUUCUAUCACCUCAGCAGGUUCUUCCUGCCGCAUCCCAAUCAAGCUCUCCCAUUCCAACAACCACUGAUCUGAUUCCUACCACCAGAGAUAUGCAAAGCCAGUAGAUGAAGGUGAUAUCAGAGAUGGAUCUACUCAAGACUUUUUGUUUCACCAAUUCUUAAGUUAUUCAUUUAUUC